rnacentral:rRNA from 1 species
UACGUAGGGGUGCGCGUUGUCCGGAAUUAUUGGGCGUAAAGAGCUCGUAGGCGGUGUGUCACGUCGGCCGUGAAAACCUGCAGCUUAACUGUGGGCGUGCGGUCGAUACGGGCAUCACUGGAGUUCGGCAGGGGAGACUGGAAUUCCUGGUGUAGCGGUGAAAUGCGCAGAUAUCAGGAGGAACACCGGUGGCGAAGGCGGGUCUCU